rnacentral:rRNA from 1 species
UGGGGAAUAUUGCACAAUGGGCGCAAGCCUGAUGCAGCAACGCCGCGUGAACGAUGAAGGUCUUCGGAUCGUAAAGUUCUGUUGCCGGGGAAGAUAAUGACGGUACCCUGUGAGGAAGCCCCGGCUAACUACGUGCCAGCAGCCGCGGUAAUACGUAGGGGGCUAGCGUUAUCCGGAUUUACUGGGCGUAAAGGGUGCGUAGGUGGUCUUUCAAGUCGGUGGUUAAAGGCUACGGCUCAACCGUAGUUAGCCUCCGAAACUGGAAGACUUGAGUGCAGGAGAGGAAAGUGGAAUUCCCAGUGUAGCGGUGAAAUGCGUAAAUAUUGGGAGGAACACCAGUAGCGAAGGCGGCUUUCUGGACUGCAACUGACACUGAGGCACGAAAGCGUGGGUAGCAAACAGG